CACACGACUCUCGGCAACGGAUAUCUCGGCUCUCGCAUCGAUGAAGAACGUAGCAAAAUGCGAUACCUGGUGUGAAUUGCAGAAUCCCGUGAACCAUCAAGUUUUUGAACGCAAGUUGCGCCCGAGGCCUUCUGGUUGAGGGCACGCCUGCCUGGGCGUCACGC
rnacentral:rRNA from 1 species